rnacentral:rRNA from 1 species
GUGGGGAAUAUUGGGCAAUGGAUGCAAGUCUGACCCAGCCAUCCCGCGUGCCGGAAGAAGGCCCUCAGGGUUGUAAACGGCUUUUGACGGUGAAGAAUCGACAGGAUGCGUCCUGUUUUGACGGUAGCCGUUGAAUAAGCACCGGCUAACUCCGUGCCAGCAGCCGCGGUAAUACGGAGGGUGCGAGCGUUGUCCGGAUUUAUUGGGUUUAAAGGGUUCGUAGGCUGGAAGGUCAGUCAGCGGUGAAAAGCUGUCGCUUAACGAUAGUCUUGCCGCAGAUACUUCCUUUCUUGGAUGAGGAGGAGGCCACUGGAACGGAUGGUGUAGCGGUGAAAUGCAUAGAUAUCAUCCAGAACACCGAUUGCGAAGGCAGGUGGCUGUACCUUAAUCGACGCUGAUGCACGAAAGCAUGGGGAGCAAACAGGAUUAGAAACCCGGGUAGUCC